rnacentral:lncRNA from 1 species
CUUCGCAUAUAUUCGGCCUAUUCGGACGUCGGGUACCAUUGCUAGAUGGUCACAUCGAUUAGUGUAGGAAGUCGUUCCUAUACUACCGGCUUAGGUUCGAACCUAUGAGGUCACACGUAUAGAAGAUUCCUGAUUGAUCAAGAAGGCUGAUGAAUGAUUAAGAAUCAUUCAGGGGUAAUUUGGUCAAUUCGAUUGGCAA